rnacentral:tRNA from 2 species
CGGAGCGUGGCGCAGCUUGGUAGCGCACUAGACUGGGGGUCUAGGGGUCGCAGGUUCAAAUCCUGUCGCUCCGACCA